rnacentral:rRNA from 1 species
GACGUAGGGGGCAAGCGUUGUCCGGAUUUAUUGGGCGUAAAGAGCGUGUAGGCGGCCAGGUAGGUCAGCUGUGAAAACUCGAGGCUCAACCUCGAGACGCCGGUUGAAACCAUCUGGCUAGAGUCCGGAAGAGGAGAGUGGAAUUCCUGGUGUAGCGGUGAAAUGCGCAGAUAUCAGGAAGAACACCCGUGGCUAAGGCGGCUCUCUAGUACGGUACUGACGCUGAGACGCGAAAGCGUGGGGAGCGAACAGG